rnacentral:lncRNA from 1 species
UUAAGGGGAACAUAAUUUGGCAUCAAUCCUCUGAUUUUCCUGGUUCUCCUUUUUCUUACAAUAUUUCUUUAAGUCUCAUACUUGGUUUAUAUAAAUAUUUGUCGCUGAUGCUGUUCUUGAAGGAGUAGAGGCAACAAAUGAACCGAUCGACCUAAUGAACACAACAACUGCCAACAACAAUCACAUGGGUUCCUAGAUUUUACUCUUCUUUUUUCCUUUACUUCUUAGAAAAGUAUGGGAGGACGUACACCCUAUCGACAUUUCAUUAAGAUCAUGGGUUCCUAGAUUUUGUGGACCACUGCAGCUCCCAACCACAC